GUCGCAGAGAGGAUGGUGCUGGGGAGAGCAUUUCGGACAGAGGGAACCAAGGGACUGAGCACACAGAAAGGGCCUGAGCAGGGAAGAAUCACUGGUGCAUUGUAGGACCGGAAUGCAGGGUUUUACUGUCACCUAGGCUGGAGUGACAUCAUCAGAGUUCACUGCAGCCUCGAUCUGCUGGGCUCAAGCCAUCCUCCCACCUAAGCCUCCCGAAGAGCUAAGACCACAGCAAGGAUCAGGCAUUGUAACAGCCUCAUGAAGUUGUGAAGAUUAAACGAAGUGACACAUGUGAAUCAUUGAGGACAAUGCUGGGCAAAUAAGACAACACAAAAAGAGAGAGAAAGAUGCUGUAUUCUUCCUACCUGUGUCCCAGAAUCCUGAACAGCCGCCGGUGUGCAGGGCCUGGUGGGAAGUGACGUUGCUGCAGAAGCUGCAGUGCUGACGAGGAGGGCAGCAUCCCUCAGAGAGAAGGACACCACAGAGAGUCCCUACCAGCCAGGAGGCUCUCACCAGAUGCGCCCCCUUGACCUUGGACCUCCUAGCUUCAAAAACUGUCAUACAAGACACUCUGUCUUGCUCUCUUGAAUUGCCUGCUCUGGUGGAAGCCAGCCAGCUUCUGCCAUGUCAUGAGAACACUCAUGCAGCCCUGGGAAGAGUCCACGUGGUGAGGAACUGAGGCCUCCUGCCAACAGCCAAGUGAAAGCACCAUCCUGGAAGAGGACCCUCCAGCCCUCAUUAAGUCUGUCAAGCCUUGAGAUGAAUGAACCAACACUAUGAAUGUAACUUCACGAGAGGCUCUGAGCCAGAACCACUCAGCUAAGCCACAGUAACUGUGAAAUAAUCAUGUAUUACUGUUUUAGGCCAGCAAGUUUUGAGAGAAUUUAUUAUGUGGUAAUAGAUAACUAAUACAGUUGUGCUUGUUAUGUUUGGUACUUAAUCAUUUUUACCACCACCACAUCAGCACACUGUAGUAGAAAACAAAUUGUAUGCAUUAAACCGUUUCUUUUUCCCUGAUGAAUUAGGCUGGCUGUCAAGGGGAAAAGUGACCAUCAGAGAUUUUUAAAUGAUCCGAAUGAUUCCAUUAAACAUCACUUAGUAGUCUGCUAGGACUGCCAUAACAAAAUAGCACAUACUGGGUGGCUUAAACAACAGAACUUCAUGUUCUCACAAUUCUGGAAGCUGCAAGUUCAAGAUCAAGGCAUCAGCAGGGUUGGUUUCUUCUGUGGCCCUGGUUUGCAGAUGGCCAUCUUGCUAUGUUCUUACAUGAUCUUUCCUCUGUGUGUGUCUGUGUCCUAAUCUCCAGUACACCAGCCAUAUUGGAUUAGGGCCUACCCAUAUGACCUCAUUUUACCUUAAUUGCCCCUUUAAAGGCCCUAUCUAUAAAUCUAUAAAUACAGUAACAUUCUGAGGUUACUGGGGGCUAGGACUUCAACACGUAAAUUUUUGGGGCCACAAUUUAGCCAAGAACACAGCACUACCACAUUUCCUUCUCUCCCUCCCUUCCUUUCUCCCUUUCUCUUUUCUUUUUUCUUUUCCUUUCCUUUCUUUUCUUUUUCCUCUUUUCUUUUCUCUCUCUUUCUUUUCUUCCUUCUUUCUUUUUCUUUCUUUCUUUCUUUCUUUCUUUCUUUCUUUCUUUCUUUCUUUCUUUCUUUCUUUCUUUCUCUCUUUCUCUCUCUUUCCUUCCCUCCCUUCCUUCCUCUCUUCUCUCUCUCUCUCUUUCUCUCUUUCCUUCUUUCUGAAGGAGUUUUGCUCUUGUUGCCCAGGCUGGAGUGCAAUGGCACGAUCUUGGCUCGCUGCAACCUUUGCCUCCCAGGUUCAAGUGAUUCUCUUGCCUCAGCCUCCAUAGUAGCUGGGACUACAGGCGUGCACCACCACAUUUGGUUAAUAUUUUUGUAUUUUUAGUAGAGGCAGGGUUUCACCAUGUAGGUCAGGCUGGUCUCGAACUCCUGACCUCAAGUGAUCCACCCACCUCGUCUCCCAAAGUGCUGAGAUUACAGGUGUGAGCCACUGCUCCCAGCCUAUCAUUUCAUGCAGAGCAUUCAACUGGAAAAACCCAGUAAUAUAUCUUAUAUUAUAGACUGUCCUAAUUGUUCACCUAAAGGUCUGAACACCUUUUUUAUUUAAUCAUAUUAAACCAGGUUCUCUUUAGAAGACUAAAAAAAAGAAGAAGGCAGUUCUACCAAAUUGUUUCAGGCAUCUCUCUCCUCUUCUGCUAUGUGAGUAUAAUCAUGCUAAGCUUAUUUCUACUUUAAGCACAUUACCCUAGCUGUUCCUUUUUCCUAGGGAACUUUUCUCCCAGAUAUUUGCAAGACUAGCCUUCUCCUGUCACGUAGAUGUCAGCUUUCAAAUCCCGUCCUCAGAAAUGUCUUUCCUGUUUCUAAUCUGCAGUGGCCUUGUCCCCCCACUCCCAGCUCUCUUGUUUCACCAUCUUCUGUUUUCUUUGUGGCACCAUGUCUAUCAGAAAACAUAUUCUAUCUGAUAAUUCUGGUUUACUGCUUAUGUAUUUAUUGUCUGUGUUCCUUCACUAGAACACAAGUUUUGUAUUUAUCACUCUAGGCUUUUAUUGUCAACCAUGUUCGCAGGCUUUAGUGAUAGGGUAGGUGGAUUGGAGACGGGGAAGGAAAAGGGGAGGGGAACAAAAACCAAAACUGCCUGGACAGGGCAGAUGCCAAGAACACCUGGGGCAUGGAAUUAGGAAAGGGAGGUUUGUAGGUUUGUAGAGGAAACACUUCUGAAGGGCCACAAGAUGUGUGACAAUAAGAGGGGAAAAGAACAACACUUUUAAAGAAGUGCUAUUGGGUGUGUUUAUGUUCCUUGAGAGAUUCAGGAAAAGACGAAAGUACUCUUUAAUUAUUUUGAUUGCAGUAAUGUGUAUAUAUGACCAUGAUGCCCUAUGUAAAAAGUAGCCUGGAUUUCACAAUCCAAGAGGUAGGCCUUGUUAGAACACCGUCCUCUGCUGAAAUUCUGGUUUUGUGUAUCAGUCUCCAUAAAGGUAGUCCCUAGAAUAAUACAGAAUUACUUUUGGGUCUCUAUAACUAAGGAUUCUGGAACAGCCCCUCACUCUGCUGCCAGUGGGGCUAGACAGUACUCAGCACAUAAUGAGAACUGAAGAAAUGUUAUCUCCUAGGGAGACUGCAGUGUUCAUGAGCCAGGCAGAAGGAAGAUGGUAUAGAUGGUGCUGGGGAGGCAAACUGAGGCUCUCCCCCAAUCGUAGGUCAAUGGGGGAAAUACUGGGGGGGAAAGAGAGGGAGGGAGGGACAGGGAGAGGGGGAGAGAGAGAGAGAGAGGGAGAGAGAGAGAGAGAGAGAGAGAGAGAGAGAGAGAGAGGUGGCUCUUAUUUGAAUAAAGUAUUAUUAUUGGACUUGAUCUUUUGGGAGAAUACAGUGAGAAGAGAACAUUCUAGAAAAUGGCUGCUUGUUGAAAUAGGGGCAGAAAGACCUGGUACUACUCGUUCCCCAACCUUUUAACUUGUAAAGAGUCAUGGGUUAAUAUGCUGCCCUAGGCAUCGUAAGUGUACCCAGGGCAUUUUGGUAGUUAAGUGUCAAGUAAACUGUCUGAAGGUCCGCAAAUGGGAUAUUUAGAAUGCCUGACUGAACAGAUAGACCUCUGCCCAAGAGCCUGAUGAUGAGUAAGCAGCCACUUUGGCAGAUGGCCAGGGCAAAGGGUUCCAAGUCUGAGUACCACUGAUGAGAAUGUCUCAUCAUUUGAGAUUUGAGAUUAAAACUCUAAAGACUCAAACUUCUUGGUGCACCUGUUUGCAUCCCUGGUGGGGACAGGCCUGGAGGAGAGGGGGUCUGUCUAACACACUUAAGUCCCAGCCACCUUUCCAAGUGGUCUUGACCAAGGACAGCACACGCAUUCUUGACAUGUUCACUUGUGGACCACCUUGGUGUAAGGAAAUCAGGACUGGGGGGACAAACUCGGAUAUAGCUUUCAAGAUAUGAUCAGGCAUGAAAAUGAAAGUAACAUGUUGAAUAGGUGAAAGAAAAUUUUAUUUUAAAUUCUUUUUGAAUAAUAGCACAUUCUCAAGAAAUCCCUAGAAUUAAGUAUUUUUGUCAAUUAUUUAGUAAGUGCCUAAUUUGCUCUUGCUAGGGAAGAAAAUUACAUGGUUGUUCCUAAAUUAUUAAACAAUAUUUUCAUGGCAUUGACAGAGCAAGUAGCAAGGUAUUGACCAGUCACCCUGCUAUAGGAAAACUCUUGG
rnacentral:lncRNA from 1 species